rnacentral:rRNA from 1 species
AUGAACGCUGGCGGCGUGCCUAAUACAUGCCAGUCGAGCGAACAGACGAGGAGCUUGCUCCUCUGACGUUAGCGGCGGACGGGUGAGUAACACGUGGAUAACCUACCUAUAAGACUGGGAUAACUUCGGGAAACCGGAGCUAAUACCGGAUAAUAUAUUGAACCGCAUGGUUCAAUAGUGAAAGACGGUUUUGCUGUCACUUAUAGAUGGAUCCGCGCCGCAUUAGCUAGUUGGUAAGGUAACGGCUUACCAAGGCAACGAUGCGUAGCCGACCUGAGAGGGUGAUCGGCCACACUGGAACUGAGACACGGUCCAGACUCCUACGGGAGGCAGCAGUAGGGAAUCCUCCGCAAUGGGCGAAAGCCUGACGGAGCAACGCCGCGUGAGUGAUGAAGGUCUUCGGAUCGUAAAACUCUGUUAUUAGGGAAGAACAAAUGUGUAAGUAACUAUGCACGUCUUGACGGUACCUAAUCAGAAAGCCACGGCUAACUACGUG